rnacentral:rRNA from 1 species
AAUGAACGCUGGCGGCGUGCUUAACACAUGCAAGUCGAACGAGAAAGGGAUUGCUUGCAAUCCUGAGUAGAGUGGCGCACGGGUGAGUAACACGUAGAUAAUCUACCUUCAAGACUGGGAUAACUAUUCGAAAGGAUAGCUAAUACCGGAUGAAGUGAUUUAACACAAGUUAAACCAUGAAAGAUUGCCUCUUCUUGAAAGCAAUUGUUUGGAGAUGAGUUUGCGGACCAUUAGUUUGUUGGUGGGGUAAAGGCCUACCAAGACUACGAUGGUUAGCUGGUCUGAGAGGAUGAUCAGCCACACUGGAACUGGUACACGGUCCAGACUCCUACGGGAGGCAGCAGUGAGGAAUUUUGCGCAAUGGGGGCAACCCUGACGCAGCAACGCCGCGUGAGUGAAGAAGGCCUUUGGGUCGUAAAGCUCUGUCGACAGGGAAGAAAUUACAAUCAUCCAAUAGGUGUUUGUAUGACGGU